AGAAGCCUUGAUCAAAAACUUGCUGCCGAAUUUGACUAAGCCACCCAGCUGCAUUGACAACCAGAGAGUAUGGAGUGGGAAAAUCGGAGCUGUUAAAAGCUUGCUUAUCCAGAAAAUAUUGUCUACACCUUAAAGCUUUGCCAACUUGUUGUAUUGGCAAUUAUGGCCAUGACCAAUUUCUUCCGAACUGAUAUGCACAGAGAUUUGGUGACUCAUGGAGGCAUACAUGUGGGUAAAUUGUUCUAUAGUGUUGUUGUGACUAUGUUUAAUGGAUUGGCUGAACUUUCCAUGGUGGUUUCAAGGCUUCCUGUUUUCUACAAGCAAAAGGGACUGUCUCUUCUUCCCUUCAUGGGUAUAUGCUCUUCCUCCAUGGAAUCCUAAAAAUUCCCAUGACUUUUUUAAGAAGAGGAUGUUUGGGGUAUCCCUCACCGAUGUUAUUGGUUUUGAGCCAUAUGUUUGAAGGUAAAAACAACUGUUUUUACACAUACUUAGCAAUCUUGUGAACUAAUGUUUUCUGCCUUGUCUCA